rnacentral:lncRNA from 1 species
GCUUAGUAUUAAUUGUCUCGAUCGAAGUUUUGCUUUAAUUGUGCAGGAUUAACUAUGAUAACGAUGAAGACAUAAAGCGAAACAAAGUGUCGGAGUCAAGCGCGAAGGAUUUGUUGCAAGUUCGAGAGUUCGACGGAAGUCCGAAGGUUCAUCGGGAAUGCUACCGGAACUAGCCGAGAAUGAGUUGGGAGCUUGCCGAAGGAUUUUCGGAAGCUCGCCGGAAGGUUCGUUGGAAGUUUGCGGAGCUC